rnacentral:misc_RNA from 1 species
CCGAGUUUACAACUCCCAAACCCAAUGUGAACGUUACCAAACUGUUGCCUCGGCGGGAUCUCUGCCCCGGGUGCGUCGCAGCCCCGGACCAAGGCGCCCGCCGGAGGACCAACCAAAACUCUUAUUGUAUACCCCCUCGCGGGUUUUUUAUAAUCUGAGCCUUCUCGGUGCCUCUCGUAGGCGUUUCGAAAAUGAAUCA